AGAGUUUGMUCCWGKCUCMGGAUGAACGCUGGCGGCGUGCSUAAUACAUKCAAGUCGAACGAAAYUUYUUUAUCACCGAGUGCUUGCACUCACCGAUAAAGAGUUGAKUGGCGAACGGGUGAGUAACACGUGGGCAACCUGCCCAAAAGAGGSGGAUAACACUKGGAMMCAGGUGCUAAUACCGCAUAACCAUAGUUACCGCAUGGUAACUAUGUAAAAGGUGGCUAUGCUAUCSCUUUUGGAUGGGCCCGCGGCGCAUUAGCUAGUUGGUGAGGUAAAGGCUUACCAAGGCAAUGAUGCGUAGCCGAACUGAGAGGUUGAUCGGCCMCAUUGGGACUGAGACACGGCCCAAACUCYUACGGGAGGCASCAGUAGGGAAUYUUCCMCAAUGGGCGAAASCCUGAUGGAGCAACGCCGCGUGGGUGAAGAAGGUCUUCGGAUCGUAAAACCCUGUUGUUAGAGAAGAAAGUGCGUGAGAGUAACUGUUCACGUUUCGACGGUAUCUAACCAGAAARCCACGGCUAACUACGUGCCAGCAGCCGCGGUAAUMCAMRGUU
rnacentral:rRNA from 1 species